AUGAUGCUCCCCAACUACUUCUGCUCGUGAUCAGAGACGCACAUAUCGUCAGCCACUAAGGGACAUGCUCAACUGGUUAAGGUCAAACAACUGACAAGCAAAUCUGUGGAAUUGAGAGGAAGAUUUUCUGAAGCCCAUCUUUUAUACCAAGACAAAACCA